AUCAGAACACUAAGCUAUGUAAAGAUCAUUGCUGUUUGGUCAAAUCAUGUCUACAGAUAUGACAAAGGAACUCUAUGCAUAAGCUGGCUUUCCUCACAGGAAAGGUAUAGUAACAUGUUUCCCUCAUGAUGGGCACUGGGAAUUGAUUUCAUCCUUUAUCAUCUAAAAACAUAUGGCUAAAGUUUCAACAGUCUUUCCUGCUUCUUAAAAGGAGUAGAGUCAUUUUGUGCUAACAAUUGGAUCUGAGAAACGGUUUGGCACAGUUCAAACAAACAUUCCUUCGCUCUUGGUCGGACUAGACAAAAUGUUCUCUCUGAUUAUCAGAAAGGGGGCUAUAUAAAGAUCUCGUCUUAGACCAUGCCCCAGUCCACGUGAGCAAGCAAAAGGAUGAAAUGUGUAGAGAUUUCAGAACAAGCGAGGCAAAUAAUCACAUGGUGCGAGAGGCUGGUAAGACACUGGUGAAUAGGGGAAACAAAGACUUUCCUGCUGCAGUUCUGGAGACAAAUUCAUGGAGUCAUGCCAGGGAAGGAAG
rnacentral:lncRNA from 1 species